AGGGCGCACGGUGGAUGCCUUGGCACUAGGAGCCGAUGAAGGACGGGACGAACACCGAUAUGCUUCGGGGAGCUGUAAGCAAGCUUUGAUCCGGAGAUUUCCGAAUGGGGAAACCCACCACUCGUAAUGGAGUGGUAUCCAUAUCUGAAUACAUAGGAUAUGAGAAGGCAGACCCGGGGAACUGAAACAUCUAAGUACCCGGAGGAAGAGAAAGCAAAUGCGAUUCCCUGAGUAGCGGCGAGCGAAACGGGACCAGCCCAAACCAAGAGGCUUGCCUCUUGGGGUUGUAGGACACUCUGUACGGAGUUACAAAGGAACGAGGUAGAUGAAGAGGUCUGGAAAGGCCCGCCAUAGGAGGUAACAGCCCUGUAGUCAAAACUUCGUUCUCUCCUGAGUGGAUCCUGAGUACGGCGGAACACGUGAAAUUCCGUCGGAAUCCGGGAGGACCAUCUCCCAAGGCUAAAUACUCCCUAGUGACCGAUAGUGAACCAGUACCGUGAGGGAAAGGUGAAAAGCACCCCGGAAGGGGAGUGAAAGAGAUCCUGAAACCGUGUGCCUACAAGUAGUCAGAGCCCGUUAACGGGUGAUGGCGUGCCUUUUGUAGAAUGAACCGGCGAGUUACGAUCCCGUGCAAGGUUAAGCAGAAGAUGCGGAGCCGCAGCGAAAGCGAGUCUGAAUAGGGCGAAUUGAGUACGUGGUCGUAGACCCGAAACCAGGUGAUCUACCCAUGUCCAGGGUGAAGUUCAGGUAACACUGAAUGGAGGCCCGAACCCACGCACGUUGAAAAGUGCGGGGAUGAGGUGUGGGUAGGGGUGAAAUGCCAAUCGAACCUGGAGAUAGCUGGUUCUCUCCGAAAUAGCUUUAGGGCUAGCCUCAAGGUAAGAGUCUCGGAGGUAGAGCACUGAUUGGACUAGGGGCCCCUACCGGGUUACCGAAUUCAGUCAAACUCCGAAUGCCGAUGACUUAUCCUUGGGAGUCAGACUGCGAGUGAUAAGAUCCGUAGUCGAAAGGGAAACAGCCCAGACCGCCAGCUAAGGUCCCAAAGUAUACGUUAAGUGGAAAAGGAUGUGGAGUUGCUUAGACAACCAGGAUGUUGGCUUAGAAGCAGCCACCAUUUAAAGAGUGCGUAAUAGCUCACUGGUCGAGUGACUCUGCGCCGAAAAUGUACCGGGGCUAAACGUAUCACCGAAGCUGCGGACUGUUCUUCGAACAGUGGUAGGAGAGCGUUCUAAGGGCUGUGAAGCAAGACCGGAAGGACUUGUGGAGCGCUUAGAAGUGAGAAUGCCGGUAUGAGUAGCGAAAGAGGGGUGAGAAUCCCCUCCACCGAAUGCCUAAGGUUUCCUGAGGAAGGCUCGUCCGCUCAGGGUUAGUCGGGACCUAAGCCGAGGCCGAAAGGCGUAGGCGAUGGAUAACAGGUUGAUAUUCCUGUACCACCUCCUCACCAUUUGAGCAAUGGGGGGACGCAGGAGGAUAGGGUAAGCGCGGUAUUGGAUAUCCGCGUCCAAGCAGUUAGGCUGGGAAAUAGGCAAAUCCGUUUCCCGUGAAGGCUGAGCUGUGAUGGCGAGCGAAUUAUAGUAGCGAAGUUCCUGAUUCCACACUGCCAAGAAAAGCCUCUAGCGAGGUGAGAGGUGCCCGUACCGCAAACCGACACAGGUAGGCGAGGAGAGAAUCCUAAGGUGAUCGAGAGAACUCUCGUUAAGGAACUCGGCAAAAUGACCCCGUAACUUCGGGAGAAGGGGUGCUCUGUUAGGGUGCAAGCCCGAGAGAGCCGCAGUGAAUAGGCCCAGGCGACUGUUUAGCAAAAACACAGGUCUCUGCGAAGCCGUAAGGCGAAGUAUAGGGGCUGACGCCUGCCCGGUGCUGGAAGGUUAAGAGGAGCGCUUAGCGUAAGCGAAGGUGCGAAUUGAAGCCCCAGUAAACGGCGGCCGUAACUAUAACGGUCCUAAGGUAGCGAAAUUCCUUGUCGGGUAAGUUCCGACCCGCACGAAAGGCGCAACGAUCUGGGCACUGUCUCAACGAGAGACUCGGUGAAAUUAUAGUACCUGUGAAGAUGCAGGUUACCCGCGACAGGACGGAAAGACCCCGUGGAGCUUUACUGCAGCCUGAUAUUGAAUGUUGGUACAGCUUGUACAGGAUAGGUAGGAGCCUUGGAAACCGGAGCGCCAGCUUCGGUGGAGGCAUCGGUGGGAUACUACCCUGGCUGUAUUGACCUUCUAACCCGCCGCCCUUAUCGGGCGGGGAGACAGUGUCAGGUGGGCAGUUUGACUGGGGCGGUCGCCUCCUAAAAGGUAACGGAGGCGCCCAAAGGUUCCCUCAGAAUGGUUGGAAAUCAUUCGCAGAGUGUAAAGGCACAAGGGAGCUUGACUGCGAGACCUACAAGUCGAGCAGGGACGAAAGUCGGGCUUAGUGAUCCGGUGGUUCCGCAUGGAAGGGCCAUCGCUCAACGGAUAAAAGCUACCCCGGGGAUAACAGGCUUAUCUCCCCCAAGAGUCCACAUCGACGGGAGGUUUGGCACCUCGAUGUCGGCUCAUCGCAUCCUGGGGCUGUAGUCGGUCCCAAGGGUUGGGCUGUUCGCCCAUUAAAGCGGUACGCGAGCUGGGUUCAGAACGUCGUGAGACAGUUCGGUCCCUAUCCGUCGCGGGCGCAGGAAAUUUGAGAGGAGCUGUCCUUAGUACGAGAGGACCGGGAUGGACGCACCGCUGGUGUACCAGUUGUUCUGCCAAGGGCAUCGCUGGGUAGCUAUGUGCGGACGGGAUAAGUGCUGAAAGCAUCUAAGCAUGAAGCCCCCCUCAAGAUGAGAUUUCCCAUUCCGCAAGGAAGUAAGAUCCCUGAAAGAUGAUCAGGUUGA
rnacentral:rRNA from 1 species